AUCACUAUAUUUCUAGAUUAACUCCAUGCAAUAUAAAGGAGUAAGUAAAUGAUGAUGAAAACAUGAAACAAACACGAAAGUUAAAACUUUGUUUUUGUUUAACUCGAAGCAGGUUUGCUCAGAAUGUUAGAUGGCUUGAAAGAAGAAAUAAUGCCUAAAAAGUUAGAAGAAGAAAGUGGCAGUGAUUCAUCAGCUCCUUCAUCUCCAGUAUCACACUUGUAUAAGUAUCGUGCAGACAACAAAACAAUUGAUUUUGACGACUUAACAGAUGAUGAAUUUGCAAAUGGAAUUGUAAAAGUUGGACUAUGCGCCAUGAACAAAAAGACAAAUGCUCGUCCAAUGAAAGAAAUAUUGAAUCGCCUUCAAAGAUUUUAUUUAAUUAACUUUCAAAUAUUUCCUGAUGAACUGACUUUAAAUGAACCUGUUGAGAAUUGGCCUGUUGUAGAUUGUCUUAUAUCAUUUUAUUCAAGAGGAUUUCCUUUAGCCAAAGCUAUUGAGUAUGCUCAUCUCCGCAAACCACUUGUGUUAAAUGACUUAGAAAUGCAGUAUCAACUUCAAGAUAGAAGAGAAGUUUAUAGACUAUUAGAAGAAGAAGGUUUAGAAGUACCAAACUAUGCUAUAUUUAACCGAGACAAGCAGGGAAACCCUGAAUCUGGUGAGGAAAUAGAAGAAUAUGAUGACACUAUUAUUGUCAAUGGAAAAACUCUAACUAAGCCUUUUGUAGAGAAGCCUGUCAGUGCAGAGGAUCAUAAUAUUUAUAUAUAUUAUCCUUCAUCAGCUGGUGGUGGUUGCCAAAUAUUGUUUAGAAAAAUUGGAAGCAGGAGCAGCGUCUAUUCCUCUGAAAGUCGUAUUCGAAGAACUGGAUCUUAUAUUUAUGAAGAUUUUAUGCCAACAGAUGGAACAGAUGUGAAAGUGUACACAGUGGGUGAAGAGUAUGCUCAUGCAGAAGCUAGAAAAUCUCCUGUUCUUGAUGGAAAAGUAGACAGAGAUAGUCUUGGCAAGGAAGUUCGCUUUCCAGUAAUUUUAUCAGCUCAUGAAAAAAUGAUAGCAAAAAGAGUUUGCAGAUUAUUUAAGCAAACAGUGUGUGGCUUUGAUCUUCUCAGAGCAAAUGGAAAAUCACUUGUUUGUGAUGUAAAUGGUUUUAGUUUUGUUAAGACAUCUCAGAAGUAUUAUGAUGAUUGUUCACAAUUACUUGGUGAAUUAAUAUUACAAAAUUUAGUUCCAAAUUUUUGGAUACCUUCUCAAAUUGACUAUCCUCAGUUACCUCUAUCACCAGAGACACCUGCUGUUGUGCCAGUAGGCACAUCAAUGGAGUUACGUUGUGUUGUAGCCAUUAUACGUCAUGGUGACAGAACUCCAAAACAAAAAAUGAAAAUGGUGGUUAGUCAUAAACUUUUUUUAGAAUUAUGGGAUAGAUACAACGGAGAAGAGGAAGGCAGACUAAAGUUAAAAAAACCAAAGCAGUUGCAAGAGAUAUUAGACAUUACUCGAACCUUGUUAGAAGGUCAGAGUAGUUUAGGGGAGGUAUCUGAAAACAGAUUAAAGUUACAACAAAUGAAGAGUGUUUUAGAAAUGUAUGGUCAUUUUUCUGGUAUAAAUCGUAAAGUUCAAAUUAAAUCAAUGAAUGACAAACGAAAUUAUGACAUGAUUACUAAAUUUAAAGGGAGAAAUAAAACCACUGACUUGUCCAUCAGUACUACUAAGUCAUUGCUACUCAUUUUGAAAUGGGGUGGUGAGUUAACUGCUAUGGGAAAGAAACAGGCUGAAGAACUUGGAAGGGCUUUUCGGUGUGUUUAUCCAGGUGGGCAAGGAGAAUAUGGUCGAGUACCAGGUUUUGGAUUUUUGCGCUUACAUAGUACAUAUCGCCAUGAUCUCAAAAUAUAUGCUUCAGAUGAAGGAAGAGUACAAGUCACAGCAGCUGCAUUUGCUAAAGGGUUAUUGGCGCUGGAAGGUGAGUUAGCUCCAGUUUUGGUCAGCUUAGUAAAAAGUGAUAAACAUGUCUCUGGUAUGCUGGAUACACCUGGUGAUAUAAGUGGAACAAUGCGCAGGGUAAAAUCGCGUUUACAUGAAUACCUUCAUUCGACAGUAGACUUUAAAAAAGAAGAUGAAGAAAAGCUUGCACCUACCGGAAGUACUUCUAUUAUAAAAGCCAUGCAUGAAGUAGUCAAUCCACACCAGAUGUGCAAAAGAAUUCUAAGACUUGUGAAAACUCUUACUAAGCAAAUUAGAGAAAAGUGUGAAGAACCAGGAGUUAAUCCUGAGUCACCUACUUUAUAUCAUGAUGAAACCCUUAACCUUAUGCGUCAUAGAUGGGAAAAGUUGGAAAAAGAUUUUUCUGGUGGUGAUGAGUUCGACAUUAGCCUUAUUCCAGACAUCUAUGAUAGUGUAAAGUUUGAUUAUGUUCAUAAUAGGUCUUUGGGACUAGAUAAUCUUUCAGAGUUAUAUAAGUGUACUAAAGCUCUUGCAGACAUCGUCAUGCCAUUGGAGUAUGGUAUUACAAGUAGUGAAAAGGCAGCAAUUUCCAAACAAAUGUGCCAAUGUUUUUUUCGUAAAAUUCAAGCUGAUUUGCAUUACAAUGUGCACCAACUGGAAGAUACAGUUCAUAGACUAGAUCCCAGUGAUUCACAUAAUGUUUUAACACCACAUCGUCAUGUCAGAACAAGGCUUUACAUUACUAGUGAAAGUCACGUGCAUUCUAUUGUUUCUGCUUUGCGGUUCGGAAAUCUGUUUGAUAAUGUAAAUGACGCUCAAUGGAAGAAAGCAGCAGAUUAUUUAAAUGAAGUGUCAGAACUUAAUUUUCUUACUCAAAUUGUUUUUAUGCAAUACGAAGACCCAACUGCUGACCCACUCUCUGUUAAUCGUUUUCACAUUGAAAUUUUUUUUUAGUCCAGGUGCCAAAAUACCAGACUAUGAAAAAUCAGAUGUAUUGUUAAAUCCUUCUACCGAUGAAUGUAAUGUUAAACAAUCUGACAGUAAAUAUUCAUCAAGCGC
rnacentral:misc_RNA from 1 species